rnacentral:tRNA from 1 species
GUCUUCGUGGUGUAAUGGUCAGCACAUUCGGCGCGUAUUCGAGAGGUCCGAGGUUCGAAUCCCGGCCAGGACA